rnacentral:rRNA from 1 species
UACGUAGGGGGCAAGCGUUGUCCGGAAUUAUUGGGCGUAAAGGGCUCGUAGGCGGUUUGUCGCGUCGGGAGUGAAAACCCAGGGCUUAACCCUGGGCUGGCUUUCGAUACGGGCAGACUAGAGGUAUGCAGGGGAGAACGGAAUUCCUGGUGUAGCGGUGAAAUGCGCAGAUAUCAGGAGGAACACCGGUGGCGAAGGCGGAUCUCUGGGCCAUUACUGACGCUGAGGAGCGAAAGCGUGGGGAGCGAACAGG